GUGGGUACAGCUUAACAGUAGAGCACAUGCUUAGCAUGCACAAGGUCCUGGGUUCAAUCCCCAGUACCUCCA
rnacentral:tRNA from 1 species